rnacentral:rRNA from 1 species
CCCUUAGAUGUUCUGGGCCGCACGCGCGCUACACUGACGAUGGCAACGAGUUUUUCCUUCGCCGAAAGGUGUGGGUAAUCUUUUGAAACAUCGUCGUGCUGGGGAUAGAUCAUUGCAAUUUUUGAUCUUGAACGAGGAAUUCCUAGUAAGCGCGAGUCAUCAGCUCGCGUUGAUUACGUCCCUGCCCUUUGUACACACCGCCCUUCGCUACUACCGAUUGAAUGGUUUAGUGAGGACUCCUGAUUGGCGCCGCCGCCCCGGCAACGGAGCAGCGGACUGCCGAAAAGUUGUUCAAACUUGAUCAUUUAGAGGAAGUAAAAGUCGUAACA